GAUUGUAUUAAAAUUGAAUAAAGCUUUGUUUAUAUAUUGAUAAUGACAGUAUAUAUAUCGUGUCUUGACUAAUUGCGUGCCAGCAGUCGCGGUAAUACGUAAGAGACUAGUGUUAUUCAUCUUAAUUAGGUUUAAAGGGUACCUAGACGGUCAAUAUAGCUUCUAGAAUGUUAGUACUUGACUAGAGUUUUAUGUAAGAGGGCAGUACUUGAGGAGGAGAGAUGAAAUUCUAUGAUACCAAAGGGACUCGGUAAAGGCGAAGGCAGCCCUCUAUGUAGAAACUGACGUUAAAGGACGAAGGCACAGAGCACAAACAGGAUUAGAUACCCAAGUAGUCUUUGCAGUAAAUGAUGAAUGCCAUAGGUUAGAU
rnacentral:rRNA from 1 species